CCUACGGGGCGCAGCAGUGAGGAAUAUUGGUCAAUGGACGAGAGUCUGUACCAGCCAAGUAGCGUGAAGGAUGACUGCCCUAUGGGUUGUAAACUUCUUUUAUAUGGGAAUAAAAUGUUCCACGUGUGGGAUUUUGUAUGUACCAUAUGAAUAAGGAUCGGCUAACUCCGUGCCAGCAGCCGCGGUAAUACGGAGGAUCCGAGCGUUAUCCGGAUUUAUUGGGUUUAAAGGGAGCGUAGGUGGAUUGUUAAGUCAGUUGUGAAAGUUUGCGGCUCAACCGUAAAAUUGCAGUUGAAACUGGCAGUCUUGAGUACAGUAGAGGUGGGCGGAAUUCGUGGUGUAGCGGUGAAAUGCUUAGAUAUCACGAAGAACUCCGAUUGCGAAGGCAGCUCACUGGACUGCAACUGACACUGAGGCUCGAAAGUGUGGGUAUCAAACAGGAUUAGAUACCCUUGUAGUC
rnacentral:rRNA from 1 species